rnacentral:rRNA from 1 species
UACGGGGGGGUGCGAGCGUUGUCCGGAAUCACUGGGCGUAAAGGGCGCGUAGGUGGCCUGAUAAGGGUGUGGUGAAAGUCCGGGGCUCAACCCCGGAUCGGCCGUGCCGACUGUUGGGCUGGAGUACUGUAGGGGCAGGCGGAAUUCCGGGUGUAGCGGUGGAAUGCGUAGAGAUCCGGAAGAACACCGGUGACGAAGGCGGCCUGCUGGGCAGUUGCUGACACUGAGGCGCGACAGCGUGGGGAGCAAACAGG